AAAAGCUAAAUUAUAAAAAAUUUUCUGUCAAUAUCCGUUUUUUUUUUUAUUUUUCCCUCCUGUUAUUCAAAAAUCUAUACUUUACCGGUUUAUCUUUUUAAAAAAUAAAAAUAUUUACAGGAGAGUACGUUGUGACAAAAUGACCAAAUUAUUUUUUAUCAGACGGAGAGGUGGGCGAGAGUGAGGGUGGGGCGGUGGAGGCGAGCGAAGGCGUGUGUGUGUGGGCAUAGACAGAGAGAGAUGGGCGAAGGCAAGGCAGCGGAGGACGAGGCGGCAUGGCGGAGGGCGAGGUGGCGCGGCCAAGAAUGAAGAAGAAUGAGGAUUUCAGAAAUAUUUUGGGUAUAAAAAAUAUGAUAUAAAUGGAACAGUGCCGGCGAGGGUCAAAAUAAAUUGUGUAGGCUUUUGAAUGACAAGAAGAAAAAAAAAAAUAUAUUGACAAAAAAAAUUUUCUGUAAUUUAGCCAAUAAAAAAAAUAA
rnacentral:lncRNA from 1 species